UACGUAGGGGGCAAGCGUUGUCCGGAAUCAUUGGGCGUAAAGAGCGUGUAGGUGGUCCGGUAAGUCGGCUGUGAAAGUCCAGGGCUCAACCCUGGGAUGCCGGUCGAUACUGCCGGACUAGAGUUCGGAAGAGGCGAGUGGAAUUCCCGGUGUAGCGGUGAAAUGCGCAGAUAUCGGGAGGAACACCUAUGGCGAAGGCAGCUCGCUGGGACGUUACUGACGCUGAGACGCGAAAGCGUGGGGAGCAAACAGG
rnacentral:rRNA from 1 species